UACGUAGGGACCAAGCGUUGUCCGGAAUCAUUGGGCGUAAAGAGCGUGUAGGCGGCUUGUUAAGUCUUGCGUGAAAUCUCGGGGCUCAACCCCGAGCGGUCGUGAGAAACUGGCAGGCUAGAGUGCGGGAGAGGAGAGUGGAAUUCCUGGUGUAGCGGUGAAAUGCGCAGAUAUCAGGAGAACACCCAUGGCGAAGGCAGGCUCG
rnacentral:rRNA from 1 species